rnacentral:rRNA from 1 species
CAGUCGCCGCGGUAAUACGUAGGUGGCGAGCGUUGCUCGGAAUCACUGGGCGUAAAGGGUGCGUAGGCGGGUCUUUAAGUCAGGGGUGAAAUCCUGGAGCUCAACUCCAGAGCUGCCUUUGAUACUGAAGAUCUUGAGUUCGGGAGAGGUGAGUGGAACUGCGAGUGUAGAGGUGAAAUUCGUAGAUAUUCGCAAGAACACCAGUGGCGAAGGCGGCUCACUGGCCCGAUACUGACGCUGAGGCACGAAAGCAUGGGGAGCAAACAGGAUUAGAUACCCCCGUAGUCCCGUCUCUUAUACA